ACCAUCAUUAAGUUGGGGACUCUAGCGAGACUGCCAGUGAUAAACUGGAGGAAGGUGGGGGAUGACGUCAAAUCAUCAUGCCCCUUAUGACCUGGGCUACAAACGUGAUACAAUGGCUGGAACAAAGGGAUGCGAAGCAGUGAUGUGGAGCGAAACCCAUAAAAACAGUCUCAGUUCGGAUUGAAGUCUGCAACUCGACUUCAUGAAGUCGGAAUCGCUAGUAAUCGCGGAUCAGAACGCCGCGGUGAAUACGUUCUCGGGGUUU
rnacentral:rRNA from 1 species